rnacentral:rRNA from 1 species
AUUGAACGCUGGCGGCAGGCCUAACACAUGCAAGUCGAACGAGUGGCGGACGGGUGAGUAAUGUCUGGGAAACUGCCUGAUGGAGGGGGAUAACUACUGGAAACGGUAGCUAAUCACGCAUACCAUCGGAUGUGCCCAGAUGGGAUUAGCUAGUAGGUGGGGUAAAGGGUCACGUAGGCGACGAUGCCUAGCUGGUCUGAGCGGAUGACCGGCCGCACUGGAACUGAGUCACGGUCCAGACUCCUACGGGAGGCAGCAGUGGGGAAUAUUGCACAAUGGGCGCAUGCCUGAUGGAGCCAUGCCGCGUGUAUGAAUAAUGCCUGCGGGUUGUAAAGUACUUACAGCCGGGCGGCGGUAGUCGCAGAAGAAGCGCCGGCUAACUCCGUGCCAGCAGCCGCGGUAAUAC